AACAUGAUUGUAGUCAGUUUAAUCCAAAUAUAUUUACACAUCAUGCAAACUAAAAGAGAAAUAAAAAAUCAAAACUAGCAACAAAAUUCAUUAAUAAUCAAGUCUGCAGUAAAUGUAUAUUGACAAUAAAAAUCAAUGUCUUCAAAUGUCAUAAUAUUCUCCAGUGAACCAAAAAUUAUGCACACGCACAAAAAAACUUCAAUAAAUUAUUCAAAAAAAAAAAAAAAAAAAAG